UGGCUGAGCGGUAAAGCGCUUGGUUUCCGAACCGGGGGUCCCGGGUUCGAAUCCUGG
rnacentral:tRNA from 1 species